rnacentral:rRNA from 1 species
GUGCGAAAUAUUACUGUAAACGGCCGCCCUAGCGUGAGGGUGCUAAGGUAGCGAAAUUCCUUGCCUUUUGAUUGUAGGCCUGCAUGAAUGGUUUAACGAGGGUUUAACUGUCUCUUAAUUUAAAAUUGAAAUUGUACUGAAGGUGAAGAUACCUUCAUUAAAAAGUCAGACAAAAAGACCCCGUGCAACUUUGAAAAUUAACUUUAUUCAGAAGUGAAAGAUUUUUAGGUGGGGCGCCUAGAAAGUAAAUCUAACCUUUCUGAACAUUUAGUUCUUUCCGGACUUGACCCGAUUAUAUUCGAUCAUAGGAGAAGUUACGCCGGGGAUAACAGGCUAAUCCUUUAGUAGAGCUCGUAUUGGCUAAAGGGAUUGGCACCUCGAUGUUGAAUCAGGGAUGAUAGCUUCAAGGCGUAGAGGCUUUGAGAGUAGGUCUGUUCGACCUUUAAUACCCU